rnacentral:snoRNA from 1 species
CACAAUGAUGACCAAAUUUUGACGGAAUCAACACAUGUUGAUUGUUAUCCCUGGCUGA